rnacentral:rRNA from 1 species
AGUGAACGCUGGCGGUAGGCCUAACACAUGCAAGUCGAACGGCAGCACAGUCAGAGCUUGCUCUUACGGGUGGCGAGUGGCGGACGGGUGAGGAAUACAUCGGAAUCUACUUUUUCGUGGGGGAUAACGUAGGGAAACUUACGCUGAUACCGCAUACGACCUACGGCUGAAAGCAGGGGAUCUUCGGACCUUGCGCGAUUGAAUGAGCCGAUGUCGGAUUAGCUAGUUGGCGGGGUAAAGGCCCACCAAGGCGACGAUCCGUAGCUGGUCUGAGAGGAUGAUCAGCCACACUGGAACUGAGACACGGUCCAGACUCCUACGGGAGGCAGCAGUGGGGAAUAUUGGACAAUGGGCGCAAGCCUGAUCCAGCCAUACCGCGUGGGUGAAGAAGGCCUUCGGGUUGUAAAGCCCUUUUGUUGGGAAAGAAAAGCAGCAGGUUAAUACCCCGCUGUUCUGACGGUACCCAAAGAAUAAGCACCGGCUAACUUCGUG